rnacentral:rRNA from 1 species
GACGAACGCUGGCGGCGUGCUUAACACAUGCAAGUCGAACGGGAAGGCCCUGCUUUUGUGGGGUGCGCGAGUGGCGAACGGGUGAGUAACACGUGAGUAACCUGCCCUUGACUUUGGGAUAACUUCAGGAAACUGGGGCUAAUACCGGAUAGGAGCUCCUGCUGCAUGGUGGGGGUUGGAAAGUUUCGGCGGUUGGGGAUGGACUCGCGGCUUAUCAGCUUGUUGGUGGGGUAGUGGCUUACCAAGGCUUUGACGGGUAGCCGGCCUGAGAGGGUGACCGGCCACAUUGGGCCUGAGCUGAGGCACAGCCUCCUACGCGAGGCAGCAGUGGGGAAUAUUGCACAAUGGGCUGAAGCCUGAUGCAGCAACGCCGCGUGCGGGAUGACGGCCUUCGCGUUGUAAACCGCUUUCGCCUGUGACGAAGCGUGAGUGACGGUAAUGGGUAAAGAAGCACCGGCUAACUCCGUG